GAUGAACGCUGGCGGCGUGCCUAAUACAUGCAAGUCGAGCGAACAGACGAUGAGCUUGCUCCUCUGACGUUAGCGGCGGACGGGUGAGUAACACGUGGAUAACCUACCUAUAAGACUGGUAUAACUUCGGGAAACCGGAGCUAAUACCGGAUAAUAUAUUGCACCGCAUGGUUCAAUAGUGAAAUACGGUUUUUCUGUCACUUAUCGAUGGAUCCGGGCCGCUUUAUCUAGUUGGUAAGGUAACGGGUUACCAAGGCAACGAUGCGUAGCCGAACUGAGAGGGUGAUAGGCGACACGGGAAGGGAGACACGGUCAAGACUCCUAAGGGAGGCAGCAGUAGGGAAUCUUCCGCAAUGGGCGAAAGCUUGACGGAGCAACGGCGCGUGAGUGAUGAAGGUCUUCGGAUCGUAAAACUCGGUUAUUAGGGAAGAACAAAUGUGUAAGUAACUAUGCACGGCUUGACGGUAACUAAUCAGAAAGCCACGGCUAACUACGUG
rnacentral:rRNA from 1 species